UGCUGACUGGUUGCCAACAGUUAGCUUCUUUUCAGCUACCAGGUAGACGGCUGACCAACUGCCUCUACAAUUUGUUACUAAUGGAUUAUUCAGUGUACCUGUCUCCACUAAGACUGUACUCUGGAAAAUAACGGAGUGGUGUUAUGAAGCGAUUGAUCAUAUGGUUACCAUUGCACAAAUAUGUCAUAAAAUAACUUUAAUUAACAAGAAAGAAAUCCUUAAAGAAGCAGUGGAAGUCUCUCUUGUGACCACAUUAUUCUGAAGAGCCUAACACCAUCCCUGUUUUAAGUGUUUCCCAGCUUACCCAGGGGCCACCUCGUCCCUUCAGAAACAAGACAUCCUAAGCAUGUUUCUCAAAUGCAGCUGUAGAGUACGGAGGAGCUCUGACACAGGAAUAUAUCACUUCUGGUUUGAAGCUUACAGAGACACAGUUUGUCAGCAAUGAGUAUCAGCAAUGAAUGCAGGCACAAAGCUAAAAUUACCAUCAUUGAAAAGACUGUCAUGACCACCAUGCAAUAUGUUAUAACAGAUUGUAGUCAUACCAUUAGACUCUGUAAUUAUCAAUUGGUCACUUUACUGGAAAAUGUCAUUAGUUUUUUCCAAUUAACUUUAUGUUAAUUAAAUUGUGUGUUAUUGAAAGAAA